GGGGUUGUGGCUCAGCAGUAGAGCACUUGCCUGGCACGUGGGGGGCCCUGGGUUCGAUUCUCAGCACCA
rnacentral:tRNA from 1 species